AGGAGUCUUGUUUUAAAAUGUAUCCUUACAUAACCCUGGACAAUUUAUUAUGCUCUUACUAUUUUUGCAGUUUUCAUCAACUCUUGCUUAUACUCCUAAUGAGGCUCUUCUACAUUUAUCCAUGAAAAUUAAGUGAAUAUCUUGCCUUCUGUUAAACUGAGGGAAUCUUUAUGAAGUCUGUAUUCUCAAAAAUAACUACAUGGCUAUCUAAAACUCAUUCAAUUCUCACUAUCCCUACCCAGGAAGUACCUCCCUGUGCUAGUAGCUGAUAGAUCUGAAAGUGAUGCAAGUGUCUCCAGGAAAGGGAUUGAUCAUAGCUGAGUGCCUGUUAUCUUUGGUCAGGAAAAGAGACUGCUUCACAGUCUAGGAUAUUCUCUUUGAUGCGUGACUAUAUGGUACACAGAGACCGAAAAGUACUGACAUCCCAGUGUGGUAGCUGGACAGAAGGUGGAGCAUUUGGAAGUCAUUUCUAUAUGUAAUUAAGAGACUUGCAAGGUUUGGCCAGGUUUCCCCCAGACCCCCUGCCUCCAAUUCACCUUAUGGCAGAGUGUGGAUUAUCCUUGCUACCUGUCA
rnacentral:lncRNA from 1 species